ACUCCGGCUUCACUGUGCCCAAGAACAGCACGGUCCGGGGUGGUCCAGUCUGAUCCCAACCGGCCCACCCGGGGCAUCCGGUGGAAGUCUUCGCCGGAGGAUCCGAAGGCAGCAUCAACGCGGUUGUCUCUUGACACUGCACACAGCAUAGCAUUUAAUCUUCGGAUGUUCUAGUCACCACACAAAUAAAGAGACUGAGCAUCGGAGAAACUAAACAGCUUGCCUGAGGUCUUGUAGAACUGCCUGGAAAAGGAAAAGCUGGAAAAAUUGUUUAUCCAUGGGGGGGAAAAAAAAAGAAAUUGGAUUCUUAGUCACACCAUGCCGAAAAAUUCACUCCAGAUGGAUGAAGAGCUGAAAUGUCAAAAGCAAACUCUGAGAAUUUGAAAAGGAAAUAUAAGUGAGUAUCUUUCUGAGCUUGAAGUAGGGAAGAAUUUACAAAGAUAGAAAAAAGGACAGGCAUAAAAGAAAAGAUCAAUAAGUUUGGCUACAUUAAUAUUAAAGCCUUUGUCCAUCAGAAGACACUUUAAAGAGAAGAAAGACAAUCUAUAAACUGGAAGAAGAUAUCUGUAAGACAUUCAACUGACAGGAUUAGCACUAGAAUAUAUAAAAAUAGCCACAAACUAGUGAGGAAACAACUGCAGAAAAGUGGGCACAAGGCAUGAGAAGCACGGUCACCGCACAGAAGGGAGGUGUGUGAGGCCAGUGGACAUAUGCAGAGAUGCUCGGCCACAGACAAAGGCAAAUCAUGACUAUGAUGAGACAUGAUUCUAUACCUACUGCGUUGGCAAAAAUUAUAAAAAACAUUGAUAAUACAACUAUUGGGAAGGUGUGGAGCAACAGGAUCCCCAGUGGUUGUACGACCAUUUUGGAAAACAAGUUAGUGUUCUCACUUAAAGAUGAUCAUUCUCACUUCCUAUGACCCUGCAAUUUCACUCACGAAUAAUAAGAGAUCAAUACAAUAGUUUCCAAAAAAAAAAAACUGUUCAUAAUAGCUAAAAAGAAAGAGAAAGAGGGCUCCAAAUCCUUAUCCUUGGGUAAAUGGACAAAUCUGCAGUAUAUUCACAAAAUGGAAUAUUGUCUAAGAGAAAAUAUGAGUGAACUACAGCUACGCAGAAUAAAAUGGAUGAAUCUCAGUGA